rnacentral:rRNA from 1 species
CUAGUARCWAGCGAGUGAAGCGGGAAAAGCUCAAAUUUAAAAUCUGGCSGYCUUUGGCCGUCCGAGUUGUAAUCUAGAGAAGUGUUAUCCGCGCUGGACCGUGUACAAGUCUCCUGGAAUGGAGCGUCAUAGAGGGUGAGAAUCCCGUCUUUGACACGGACUGCCAGGGCUUUGUGAUGCGCUCUCAAAGAGUCGAGUUGUUUGGGAAUGCAGCUCAAAAUGGGUGGUAAAUUCCAUCUAAAGCUAAAUAUUGGCGAGAGACCGAUAGCGAACAAGUACCGUGAGGGAAAGAUGAAAAGAACUUUGGAAAGAGAGUUAAACAGUACGUGAAAUUGCUGAAAGGGAAACGCUUGAAGUCAGUCGCGUUGUCUGGGGAUCAACCUUGCUUUUGCUGGGCGUACUUUCCAGAUGACGGGUCAGCAUCAAUUUUGACCGUUGGAUAAAGUCUGGAGGAAUGUGGCAUCUUCGGAUGUGUUAUAGCCUCUAGUUGCAUACAACGGUUGGGAUUGAGGAACUCAGCACGCCGCAAGGCCGGGUACUUGUACCACGUUCGUGCUUAGGAUGCUGGCAUAAUGGCUUUAAUCGACCCGUCUUGAAACACGGACCAAGGAGUCUAACAUGCCUGCGAGUAUUUGGGUGGAAAACCCGAGUGCGUAAUGAAAGUGAAAGUUGAGAUCCUUGUCAUGGGGAGCAUCGACGCCCGGACCAGACCUUUUGUGACGGAUCUGCGGUAGAGCAUGUAUGUUGGGACCCGAAAGAUGGUGAACUAUGCCUGAAUAGGGUGAAGCCAGAGGAAACUCUGGUGGAGGCUCGUAGCGAUUCUGACGUGCAAAUCGAUCGUCAAAUUUGGGUAUAGGGGCGAAGACUAAUCGAACAUCUAGUAGCUG